rnacentral:rRNA from 1 species
GAUGAACGCUGGCGGCGUGCCUAAUACAUGCAAGUCGAGCGAACGGACGAGAAGCUUGCUUCUCUGAUGUUAGCGGCGGACGGGUGAGUAACACGUGGAUAACCUACCUAUAAGACUGGGAUAACUUCGGGAAACCGGAGCUAAUACCGGAUAAUAUUUUGAACCGCAUGGUUCAAAAGUGAAAGACGGUCUUGCUGUCACUUAUAGAUGGAUCCGCGUUGCAUUAGCUAGUUGGUAAGGUAACGGCUUACCAAGGCAACGAUGCAUAGCCGACCUGAGAGGAGGAUCAGCCACACUGGAACGGAGACACGGUCCAGACUCCUACGGGAGGCAGCAGUGGGGAAUAUUGGACAAUGGGCGCAAGCAUGAUCCAGCCAGACCGAGUGGGUGAAGAAGGCCUUCGGGUUGUAAAGCACUUUUGUUGGGAAAGAAAAGCAGCAGGUUAAUACCCCGCUGUUCUGACGGUACCCAAAGAAUAAGCACCGGCGAACUUCGUG